AAACAUUACAAAACAUAAAUAAAAGUGUGUAUAUAUGAAAGUAUAGGGUUAAAACUGAAAAUUAAUUAAUAACUUUCUCCGGAAAAGUGAAAACGCAGGUAACUAAACUCCCGCCCCAAAAUUAAGGGUUUUUCUGUGUGUGUAAAUGUGUAAUUGGGGUUCGACCAGACGUGAGACAACCACGAUGUCAGUACUUAGUCACAGAUCCGAUGCUUUAUCAAGUAUGUCAAAAGUAGCAGGUGUAAUAAGCGCGCUAAAGAAUUAUGAUGAUCCGGCUCUUUUGUUGCUAGUUAGUUCCGACGGUCCUAUUUUCCCGGUGGAUGAGGCGAGUGCUAUGGAGUCUGAUCGAAUCUAGGCUAUUUGGCAAGCUCUCUUCCCACCUCCCAAGCCAAAUCCUUGAACCAAUUGUUUGCUUCAUCAAGAAACGCACACUGAUAAUUUUACUAAGGAUUUCGAAGCCCAAUUUUUCCAGCAGAAUCGGCACCUUCUUUUGGAUCUUUUGGAAGCUGCUUUCGAUUACUCUAUCGAUAGCCUCCUUGACCUGACACGUAAAGUUGUUCUUGACAUGCUAGCUGAGAAUACUCAUGAUGAGAUUCGUGAGAUCUUCAACCUGAGUCAACAAGAGAUGGAAGAGAUGCAGAAAAAUCUAAAUCGAAAAGGUAAAAAAAAUAGGAAAAAAAGUCGGGCUAGUUACUAUAUCUAAAUCGAUCCCAUUUCUUUUAUGUAUCAUUUUUGGAUUAGGAAUUAGCAUCCGGUUGUUACUAUCUCUACUUUCUUACUAGGUAGUAGGUUCAUGCGUAACUCAGUCUGUACCUUCAAAAACACGUUCAUGGUGAGAGGUUCUAUCUUAUGUGGUGCUUUCUACUGUGUAUCCCACUUUUGAACGAUUGCAAGUAGUUUGUGACUGUAUGAUCUGGGUAGUUUAGCACAUUCCCAACUUUUUUUACUAAUAUACGCUAUUGGAUGAACUUUUUGAAUCAA